AACGAACGCUGGCGGCAUGCCUAACACAUGCAAGUCGAACGAAGGCUUCGGCCUUAGUGGCGCACGGGUGCGUAACGCGUGGGAAUCUGCCCUUUGGUUCGGAAUAACAGCUGGAAACGGCUGCUAAUACCGGAUGAUGACGAAAGUCCAAAGAUUUAUCGCCAGAGGAUGAGCCCGCGUUGGAUUAGGUAGUUGGUGGGGUAAAGGCCUACCAAGCCGACGAUCCAUAGCUGGUCUGAGAGGAUGACCAGCCACACUGGGACUGAGACACGGCCCAGACUCCUACGGGAGGCAGCAGUGGGGAAUAUUGGACAAUGGGCGCAAGCCUGAUCCAGCAAUGCCGCGUGAGUGAUGAAGGCCCUAGGGUUGUAAAGCUCUUUUACCCGGGAAGAUAAUGACUGUACCGGGAGAAUAAGCCCCGGCUAACUCCGUG
rnacentral:rRNA from 1 species